CAAAGGAAAGGCACAAUUACAUUUAAAGACAAUAUGGGGAAAGGAUCAAUAAUCGGUUUUGCUCUAUUUUUGUGUUCUCUCACAAUAGUCACCAGCCAGUCUCCAUUUAAUGACCCGUGUACUAUUAUGCCAAGAGGAUCUGCUGGGGAGGAUACAGUACUGGAUGUGUUUGCAAACGAUGCCUGUACCAAUGGUAGUCUCUGGUGGAAUUAUCCCCGAGGAUCUUUACGUGUUCACUUUAGAUCUUCAGAUGAAACAAAACAAUUCAAAGUUUGUUUGAGUGAAGAUGUCGGGAUUUCUUUUAGAUCUGUAUUUGACAUCACAAAUGGUGGUCAUAGACCUUUACAAGUUUCACAAGAAAGAGAAGUAGAAACGUGUACAGAUACAGUCGCUCCAGAAAUCAUUCUGCUUAUAAAAUCCCCAACUUUCUUAACUUACAUGACCUUACACAAAUAUCGACUGG